rnacentral:lncRNA from 12 species
UUUAUUUAAAACAUUUUUUCAAUAUAGUUACUAGAAAAUUUGAAAUUGCAUAUGAAGUUAAAAUUGCAUUUCUAUUAGCACUAGUAUAGAAUGUGUAUGAGUUUCAGUCUAUCUUAUAGAGAAAUUGCUGUUUCCUUACAAAUAAAUAGUUAAAAUUCUUGAAAGCUGCACACUAAGUUAAUUAAAUGCUCAAUUUUAUUUUGUAUUUCAACUUUGCUCUAUUAUAAUCCAUAUUCAUUCAAACUAUUUAUUCCUGCUUUUCUCCAUUUCACAGCAACAAACCAAAUGGACUUCAUGUGAAAUUAUUGACUACUCUGUGCCUCUCAGCCUCAAUUAGCCCCUAAUUCUAGGCACCUGGAAGCCAAAGCAAACCAUAAGGAGCCACAAGCACUACCCCGAUGCAGCAUCUCUGGAAGGAAGUUUCACAUGACAAGUUAUGUAAUGUGUCAAGAGAGAAGAAUGAUUUUGGACCUGCCCUCUGAAAAAGAGGCAUUCUUCACUGACCCUUGAAAAGUGAGCCUGAGCAGUUGGAGGCCAACUGGAACAAUUGGAAAACACU